rnacentral:rRNA from 1 species
GAGGGUGCGAGCGUUAAUCGGAAUUACUGGGCGUAAAGCGCUCGUAGGUAGUAUGGCAAGUCAAGGGUGAAAUCCCCGCGCUCAACGUGGGAACUGCCUUUGAAACUGCUACACUUGAGUGUGUGAGAGGAUAGUGGAAUUCCAGGUGUAGGAGUGAAAUCCGUAGAUAUCUGGAGGAACAUCAGUGGCGAAGGCGACUAUCUGGCACAUAACUGACACUGAGGAGCGAAAGCGUGGGUAGCAAA